rnacentral:hammerhead_ribozyme from 1 species
GUGCAGCUGAAGAGGCCCAAACGGGGCGAAACGCACGUCGUGGAU